rnacentral:rRNA from 1 species
UACGAAGGGGGCUAGCGUUGCUCGGAAUCACUGGGCGUAAAGCGCACGUAGGCGGAUUGCUAAGUCAGGGGUGAAAUCCUGGAGCUCAACUCCAGAACUGCCUUUGAUACUGGCGACCUAGAGUCCGGGAGAGGUGAGUGGAACUGCGAGUGUAGAGGUGAAAUUCGUAGAUAUUCGCAAGAACACCAGUGGCGAAGGCGGCUCACUGGCCCGGUACUGACGCUGAGGUGCGAAAGCGUGGGGAGCAAACAGG